GUAGGCAAUGACUGACAGGCUGCCCUGGCUCAGUUAUCACUGUGCUGAUGCUGUCUAUACUAAAGGUACAGUACUGUGAUAACUGAAGGAUGGCAGCCAUCUUGCCUUCACAGAAAC
rnacentral:pre_miRNA from 11 species